rnacentral:rRNA from 1 species
CUACGGGUGGCAGCAGUGAGGAAUUUUGCGCAAUGGGGGAAACCCUGACGCAGCAACGCCGCGUGAGCGAAGAAGGCCCUCGGGUCGUAAAGCUCUGUCAAGUGGGAAAAAAAUCUUUUGAUCAAUAGUCAAAAGACUUGAUGGUACCACUGGAGGAAGCACCGGCUAACUCCGUGCCAGCAGCCGCGGUAAUACGGAGGGUGCAAGCGUUGUUCGGAUUUACUGGGCGUAAAGAGCGUGUAGGCGGUUUAGCAAGUCAGAUGUGAAAGCCCUGGGCUCAACCCGGGAAGUGCAUUUGAAACUGCUUGACUAGAGUAUGGGAGAGGGGAUUGGAAUUCCUGGUGUAGAGGUGAAAUUCGUAGAUAUCAGGAGGAACACCCGUGGCGAAGGCGAUUCUCUGGACCAAUACUGACGCUGAGACGCGAAAGCGUGGGGAGCAAACAGGAUUAGAUACCCGGGUAGUC